rnacentral:ncRNA from 1 species
GUCCUGAAGGAACGUUGAAGACGACGACGUUGAUAGGUCGGGUGUGUAAGCGUAGCGAUACGUUGAGCUAACCGAUACUAAUGAACCGUGAGGCUUAACCUU